GAGAGAUUCAGGUGCAUAUCAUAAGUAGCAGAGUACAGCAAACUCCCUUUGGGAUACUCAGAGAACGUAUCACUAUGGAUGCAAUCCCUUGGGCCAUGCCCCAUAAGGAUUCCAAAAGAGAGGCAUUGGAACAGGCUGCAAAACUUUUGGAGUGCACACUGCAGGUCUGGAACUGUAAAACAGGUUAAGAUCUAAAGAGACAAAAAUUGAGGUGAUUUAAGUCAGUUCUGUAAGAAGGUUUCUCAAUUUGACCCUUUGGGGAAAUACAGACACUCCAAUCAGCA